rnacentral:ncRNA from 2 species
ACGCGCUGGCGGGACUCGGUGUAAUUCCGAACCGGCGGUGAUCCACGGUCCGACCGUGGUAAGCCCGCGACCCGGGAGCGGUUCGUCCGCCCGGUGGACCUGGUGAGAAUCCGGGGCCGACGGUUGGGUGCGGCCCGUCCGCGCCCAGACAGUCCGGAUGGGAGACAGCGCGC